ACGGAGGGUGCGAGCGUUAAUCGGAAUUACUGGGCGUAAAGCGCACGUAGGCGGUGGUGUGAGUCGGAUGUGAAAGCCCCGGGCUUAACCUGGGAAUUGCAUUCGAUACCGCAUCGCUAGAGUUUGGGAGAGGGAAGGGGAAUUCCGGGUGUAGCGGUGAAAUGGGGAGAGAUGGGGAGGAAGACUAGGGGGGAAGGCGAAUGUCUGGACUGUAACUGACACUGAGGUGAGAAAGAGUGGGGUGCAAACAG
rnacentral:rRNA from 1 species